rnacentral:rRNA from 1 species
UACGUAGGGUGCAAGCGUUAAUCGGAAUUACUGGGCGUAAAGCGUGCGCAGGCGGUUUUGUAAGUCUGUCGUGAAAUCCCCCGGGCUCAACCUGGGAAUUGCGAUGGAGACUGCAAGGCUAGAAUCUGGCAGAGGGGGGUAGAAUUCCACGUGUAGCAGUGAAAUGCGUAGAGAUGUGGAGGAACACCGAUGGCGAAGGCAGCCCCCUGGGUCAAGAUUGACGCUCAUGCACGAA